GACGAACCGUGCGAACGUUGUUCGGAUUCACUGGGCUUAAAGGGCGCGUAGGCGGGCGGUCAAGUCAGGGGUGAAAUCUUUCGGCUCAACCGGAAAAGUGCCUUUGAUACUGGCCGUCUCGAGGGAGGUAGGGGCAUGCGGAACUUCCGGUGGAGCGGUGAAAUGCGUAGAUAUCGUCUGGAACGCCGAAGGUGAAAACAGCUCGCUGGGGCUGCGCUGACGCUGAGACACGAAAGCCAGGGGAGCGAACGGG
rnacentral:rRNA from 1 species